GAUGAACGCUGGCGGCGUGCCUAAUACAUGCAAGUCGAGCGAACAGACGAGGAGUUUGCUCCUCUGACGUUAGCGGCGGAGGGGUGAGUCACAUGUGUAUAACCUACCUAUAAGACUGGGAUAAUUUCGGGAAACCGGAGCUUAUACCGGAUAAUAUAUUGAACCGCAUGGUUCAAUAGUGAAAGUCGGUUUUUCUGUCACUAAUAGAUGGCUACGCGCCGCAUUAGCGAGUUGGUAAGGUAAAGGCUUACCAAGGCAACGAUGCGUAGCCGACCUGAGAGGGUGAUCGGCCACACGGGAAGUGAGACACGGUCCAGACUCCUACGGUAGGCAGCAGUAGGGAAUCUUCCGCAAUGGGGGAGAACCUGACGGAGCAACGCCGCGUGAGGGAUGAAGGUGUUAGGAUCGUAAAGCUCUGUUAUUCGGGGAGAACAAAUGUGUAAGUAACUAUGCUCGUAUUGACGGUACCGGGUCAAAAAGCCACGGCUAACUACGUG
rnacentral:rRNA from 1 species